rnacentral:rRNA from 1 species
AAACUAAAGAUGGCGACCGGCGCACGGGUGAGUAACACGUAUCCAACCUGCCUCAUACUCGGGGAUAGCCUUUCGAAAGAAAGAUUAAUAUCCGAUAGCAUAUAUUUCCCGCAUGGGUUUUAUAUUAAAGAAAUUCGGUAUGAGAUGGGGAUGCGUUCCAUUAGUUUGUUGGGGGGGUAACGGCCCACCAAGACUACGAUGGAUAGGGGUUCUGAGAGGAAGGUCCCCCACAUUGGAACUGAGACACGGUCCAA